UGCUACCGUCACGCUACCCUGAACAAGCAGGGUCAGGCCUGGUUGGCACUUGGAUGGGAGACCACCUAGGAAGACCAGGUGCUGUAGGCC
rnacentral:rRNA from 1 species